rnacentral:rRNA from 1 species
AGAGUUUGAUCAUGGCUCAGAACGAACGUUGGCGGCGUGGAUUAGGCAUGCAAGUCGGGGGAAUCCCAGCAAUGGGGGAACCGGCGUAAGGGGCAGUAAGGCAUGGGUACCUACCCUGAAGUUCGGGAUAGCCAUCAGAGAUGGUGGGUAAUACCGGAUGAUGUCGUGAGACCAAAGAUUUAUCGCUUUGGGAGGGGCCCAUGUGAUAUUAGCUAGUUGGUGAGGUAAUGGCUCACCAAGGCUAAGAUGUCUAGCGGGUAUGAGAGUACGACCCGCGCCACUCGCACUGAGACACUGGCGAGACACCUACGGGUGGCUGCAGUCGAGGAUCUUCGGCAAUGGGCGAAAGCCUGACCGAGCGACGCCGCGUGCGCGAUGAAGGCCUUCGGGUUGUAAAGCGCUUUAGUGGGGGAGAAAGGGGUAAAACCUUGAUCUAUCCCAAAAAUAAGCUCGGGCUAAGUUCGUGCCAGCAGCCGCGGUAAGACGAACCGAGCGAACGUUGUUCGGAAUCACUGGGCUUAAAGGGCGCGUAGGCGGGCUGUCAAGUCUGGGGUGAAAUCCCACGGCUCAACCGUGGAACUGCCUUAGAUACUGACGGCCUCGAGGGAGAUAGGGGCGAGCGGAACUGUGAGUGGAGCGGUGAAAUGCGUUGAUAUUCACAGGAACUCCGGUGGCGAAGGCGGCUCGCUGGAUCUUUUCUGACGCUGAGGCGCGAAAGCUAGGGGAGCAAACGGGAUUAGAUACCCCGGUAGUCCUAGCCCUAAACGUUGGGUACUGGGUAGUAGACUAGACAUGGGUUUACUGCCGCAGCAAAAGUGCUAAGUACCCCGCCUGGGGAGUAUGGUCGCAAGGCUGAAACUCAAAGGAAUUGACGG